rnacentral:rRNA from 1 species
GAUGAACGCUAGCGGCAGGCCUAAUACAUGCAAGUCGGACGGGAUUCAGGAGCUUGCUUCUGAUGAGAGUGGCGCACGGGUGCGUAACACUUAUGUAACCUACCUUUAUCAGGGGGAUAGCCUCUCGAAAGAGAGAUUAAGCCCGCAUAAAAUCACAGCACAGCAUUGUGUAAUGAUCAAAUAUUUAUAGGAUAAAGAUGGGCAUGCGGAACAUUAGCUAGAUGGCGGGGUAACGGCCCACCAUGGCGACGAUGUUUAGGGGAUCUGAGAGGAUGGCCCCCCACACUGGUACUGAGACACGGACCAGACUCCUACGGGAGGCAGCAGUAAGGAAUAUUGGUCAAUGGGCGGAAGCCUGAACCAGCCAUGCCGCGUGCAGGAAGACGGCCCUACGGGUUGUAAACUGCUUUUAUACGGGAAUAAACCCAGAUACGUGUAUCUGGCUGAAUGUACUGUAAGAAUAAGGAUCGGCUAACUCCGUG